AAUUUACCUAUACCGUAAACCGUAAUCCGGCAAAUCAUUUUGUCAUUUCAACUACACUAUACAUGUAGUUUUGCAAAUAUGAAAAUUGAAGUAUCAAUAGUCUUAACGCUUGUAAGUGGGAUAGUUGGCGUUACAUCUUAUUGGUUGGCUUUCGUAAAUGAAUAUUGGCAUACUGAAUCCAGUGAUAUUAAUUUGUCGCAAUCUUCCAAAGAUGUACAUGUAGAGUUGUUGAUAAUGUUGAGGAACUGCGGUCUCAUGUUUUUGCCUGCUUCAUGGAUUAUGAUGGUGUUAUCUUAUUGUAAACCACACAAUGAAUCGCACUGGCAAACCCUUCCAUAUUGGUUAAAGAGGUUCGCUAUGGUAAUAUUCAGCAUAUAUGUUGUAUUCGGCCUGUUCGAAAUGUAUAGGUUUAGUGAAAAUAUUGGGCUGUCUUGGUUGUGCAUUUAUAACGUGUGCAUGUUGUUUACUGUCUCCAUGAUGUACUGGCAUAUUCAACAUAUUCAACAUGAUCAAGAGAUAGAUAAGAAGACAAAAUGAAUCAUAGACAAUGUCAAAUAUCAAUGACACAACAUGACCAUGUUGCGCAAUGUAAAAGUAACCUUAAUUUUCUUUAUCUUGUAUAAAAUGUAUUCAAUUGCAAUAUAAGCAUGAAUGAUUCACUCUGAACUAGUGGUUUGUUAAUUUCUUGACAUCACAAAAUAAGUAAGUGUAUAAUACAUGUAUCAUGUGUAUUUAUCUUCAUCAUAAGCUGUAUAUUCUUUAUUAUGCUGUACAGAAAUGACCAGUUGUAUAUUGUAUGCCAUAUUAUUCCAUUCUCAAACUACAAUUGUUUGUAAGACUUAAAGCUUUUGUCGUACAAGUUGUAAUCAGCUUUAAGAAAUCUAUUAAAAAAUAAAAUAAUUUGAUCUUAAAA